UGCAAGCGUCGGUUUAAUGUGAGACUAUGGAAGGUCUUUACUGAUUGCUUCAACUGCCUCCCUGUAGCUGCUCUGGUAGAUGACAAAAUACUAUGCAUGCAUGGUGGUCUUUCCCCCGAUUUAUCCAGCUUAGAUCAAAUUAAAAGCUUAACUCGUCCAACCGAUGUCCCAGAUACUGGUUUACUCUGUGACUUACUUUGGUCAGAUCCUGGAAGAGAUGUUCAAGGGUGGGGAAUGAAUGA
rnacentral:misc_RNA from 1 species